rnacentral:rRNA from 1 species
AACGAACGCUGGCGGCAGGCCUAACACAUGCAAGUCGAGCGCGCCCUUCGGGGUGAGCGGCGUCCGGGGGUGUAACGCGUGGGAACGUUCCCUUUUCUACGGAAUAGCCUCGGGAAACUGAGAGUAAUACCGUAUACGCCCUUUGGGGGAAAGAUUUAUCGGAAAAGGAUCGGCCCGCGUUGGAUUAGGUAGUUGGUAGGGUAAUGGCCUACCAAGCCGACGAUGCAUAGCUGGUUUGAGAGAAUGAUCAGCCACACUGGGACUGAGACACGGCCCAGAAUCCUACGGGAGGCAGCAGUGGGGAAUCGUAGACAAUGGGGGCAACCCUGAUCUAGCCAUGCCGGGUGAGUGAUGAAGGCCUUAGGGUUGUAAAGCGCUUUCAGCUGGGAAGAUAAUGACGGUACCAGCAGAAGAAGCCCCGGCUAACUCCGUG